GGGGUUGUGGCUCAGCGGUAGAGCACUCGUCUAGUGCGUGCAAGGUCCUGGGUUCGAUCCUCAGCACCAUCU
rnacentral:tRNA from 1 species